rnacentral:rRNA from 1 species
AAUUUUGGAAGAGAUGCAUUUAUUAGAUAAAAGACCAAUACAUACUUUUUCAAGUAUGAAAUUUGGUGAUUUACAAUAACUUAGCAAAUCGCAUAGUGAAAACAGGCGAUAAAUCAUUCAAGUUUCUGACCUAUCAGCUUUCGACGGUAUGGUAUUGGCUUACCGUGGCAGUGACGGUUAACGGGGGAUUAGGGUUCGAUUCCGGAGAGGGGGCCUGAGAAACGGCUACCACAUCUAAGGAAGGCAGCAGGCGCGCAAAUUACCCAAUUCUAACAGCAUAAGAGAGGUAGUGACAAGAAAUAACAAUACAAGGCAGUUAAAUGCUUUGUAAUUGGAAUGAUAGAAAUUUAAACACUUUUUAAAGUAUCAAUUGGAGGGCAAGUCUGGUGCCAGCAGCCGCGGUAAUUCCAGCUCCAAUAGCGUAUAUUAAAAUUGUUGCAGUUAAAAAGCUCGUAGUUGAAUUUCUGUUAAAAAUAACCGGUCUGCUUUUAAUAAAAGUGGUAUCUUGGUGUGUUUUUAGCAAUAAUGUCCUUUGAAAUGUUUUUUACUUUAUUGUAAUAAAUAAUAUUCAGGAUUUUUACUUUGAGAAAAUUAGAGUGUUUCUAGCAGGCUAACGCUUUGAAUACUGCAGCAUGGAAUAAUAAAAUAGGAUUUUAGUUCUACAUUAUUGGUUUUAAGAACUAAAUUAAUGAUUGAUAGGGACAGUUGGGGGCAUUUGUAUUUAACUGUCAGAGGUGAAAUUCUUAGAUUUGUUAAAGACAAACUACUGCGAAAGCAUUUGCCAAAAGAUGUUUUCAUUAAUCAAGAAC